UAAAAGUUUAAAUUUAGUUUUAAAAAUUUAUAUUUAUAAUAUUUUACAUGUAAAUUUUAGUGGGUAAAAAAAUUUAAAUAAAAAUUAUUAAAUUCACAGUAUAAAAAAUUAAAUUAUUAAGUAAUUUUAGAUUUAGAUAUAUAAAAAAUUUUAGCUAAUUUUGUGCCAGCAGUUGCGGUUAUACAAUUAAUGUAAUAAAUUUUUUUUAGAUAUAUUAAAUAUUUUUUUUUUAUGAAAAAUUAAAUUUUAAGGUGAAAUUUAAAUUUAUUUUAUUUUAAUAAGUUAUAUUUAUAUAUAAAAAAUUUAGUUUAUAAACUAGGAUUAGAUACCCUAUUAUUCUAAAUGUAAAAAAAUUUCUAAAGUAUUAAUAGUUAUGUUCUUAAAAAUUAAAAAUUUUGGCGGUAUUUUAGUCUUUUCAGAGGAACCUGUUCUAUAAUUGAUAGUCCACGUUUAAUAAAACUUAAAUUAAAAAUUUAUAUAUCAUCGUAGUUUGAAAAUUUUAAAAGAAUUAAAUUUUCAAGAUAUUAAAUUUAAUAGAAAAUCAGAUCAAGGUGUAGUUUAUAUUUAAGAAGAAAUGGGUUACAAUUAAUUUAUUAAUGGAUUUAAAAUUGCAAAUUUUAUUGAAAUUGGAUUUGAAAGUAAUUAUAAUAUAUUUUUAUAAUGAUUAAGCUCUAAAAUAUGUACAUAUCGCCCGUCACUUUCAAUAAAAUGAAAUAAGUCGUAACAAAGUAGAUUUACUGGAAAGUGAAUCUAGAAAUCA
rnacentral:ncRNA from 1 species